UACGGAGGGGGCUAGCGUUGUUCGGAAUUACUGGGCGUAAAGCGCACGUAGGCGGCUUUGUAAGUUAGAGGUGAAAGCCCGGGGCUCAACUCCGGAAUUGCCUUUAAGACUGCAUCGCUAGAAUUGUGGAGAGGUGAGUGGAAUUCUGAGUGUAGAGGUGAAAUUCGUAGAUAUUCGGAAGAACACCAGUGGCGAAGGCGACACACUGGACACAUAUUGACGCUGAGGUGCGAAAGCGUGGGGAGCAAACAGG
rnacentral:rRNA from 1 species